rnacentral:rRNA from 1 species
UACGUAGGGCGCAAGCGUUGUCCGGAAUUAUUGGGCGUAAAGGGCUCGUAGGCGGUUUGUCGCGUCGGGAGUGAAAUUUUUCGGCUUAACCGGGAAAGGUCGUCGGAUACUGCCGGGCUAGAGUCCGGAAGAGGCGAGUGGAACUCCUGGUGUAGCGGUGGAAUGCGCAGAUAUCAGGAAGAACACCAACGGCGAAGGCAGCUCGCUAGGACGGUACUGACGCUGAGACGCGAAAGCGUGGGGAGCGAACAGG